UGGUCCUGUGGAAAUGUUUCCUC
rnacentral:piRNA from 1 species